rnacentral:rRNA from 1 species
AGUGAACGCUGGCGGUAGGCCUAACACAUGCAAGUCGAACGGCAGCACAGUAAGAGCUUGCUCUUACGGGUGGCGAGUGGCGGACGGGUGAGGAAUACAUCGGAAUCUACUUUUUCGUGGGGGAUAACGUAGGGAAACUUACGCUAAUACCGCAUACGACCUACGGGUGAAAGCAGGGGAUCUUCGGACCUUGCGCGAUUGAAUGAGCCGAUGUCGGAUUAGCUAGUUGGCGGGGUAAAGGCCCACCAAGGCGACGAUCCGUAGCUGGUCUGAGAGGAUGAUCAGCCACGCUGGAACUGAGACACGGUCCAGACUCCUACGGGAGGCAGCAGUGGGGAAUAUUGGACAAUGGGCGAAAGCCUGAUCCAGCCAUACCGCGUGGGUGAAGAAGGCCUUCGGGUUGUAAAGCCCUUUUGUUGGGAAAGAAAAGCAGCAGGUUAAUACCCCGCUGUUCUGACGGUACCCAAAGAAUAAGCACCGGCUAACUUCGUG